CGUCGCUGUUUGAAUGGAGAUCAGUAGAUCUGCAAGCGGCCCGAGGGAAAAUGGCAGCCGUGUUGAGUCUUGCCCACUUACUUUUAAGAUCAGAAUCUAGAGUUUUGAGAAUUUGCGAUACGAGCCCUCGGAGUCAGCCAACACUCUGAAAAUUGUUUGAAUCUGCCACUUUAGUUCAGUGAGUGCGCAAGAACUUGGCUACAGAUGGGCUAUUUUGGACACUGGAACAUGGAUAAACUAUCAAUGAAAAAUAUUUAGUGAUGGCUGCUCUGACUAAGCACGUUAAUGAAGAAGACAGUGAAAAAUGCUUGAAGGGGAAAAGGAUGGGAGAUGGCCUUCCAUAAAUUGUCCACUGAUAGGUGCAGAGGAGGAGGCUGUGGAAAAGUAGCAUCUCUGCAUACCUGAUAAAUCCAAGAUAUUACGCAGUGGAAUAAUAAAUUUUCCAGUGAACCCAGGAAGUUUAAAAGGAGUGUGAGAAACAAGGCCCCAGAAAGUUUCGAGGAAGUGUCUAGAAUGGAACCAGGUUAUUCAAGCAGAACCCUGGAGGAUUGCUGAAACUUUACUCUUCCAUUGGGAUCCCUGAAGAAUCCAAUGGCAGAUGUAGCCAGUAACCAUUGUAUUUCAUGUAAAGAAAAACUUCGUGCAGCAUAGGUUGAAAGACAAUUUUA